UAGUUAGGGUUUGUUGUCUCGUCUUUCGACCUCACCGAGACACGGAAACAGAAAUUUCGAAGUGCUUAAGCUACUCUGGGUGGUGCUCAUUGGAUUGGUGUUUGCACUCAUAAUCCAAUCCCUGGCUGCAAAUCUUGGUGUAAGCACAGGCAAACACCUUUCAAAAUUAUGCAAAGCUGAGUACCCAAAAUAUGUGAAGUAUUGCCCACGGUUGCAGAGAUAUGGGGUGCUCCAUUCGGUUCUUUGUUUAAUUAGUUGAUCUUUGUAAAUUUAUUUCUUUUGUUCUUUGUAAAUUUAUGUUUUAG